rnacentral:rRNA from 1 species
AUAUCAAUAAGCGGAGGAAAAGAAACCAACAGGGAUUGCCUUAGUAACGGCGAGUGAAGCGGCAAUAGCUCAAAUUUGAAAUCUGGCUCUUUCAGAGUCCGAAUUGUAAUUUGUAGAGGAUGUUUCGGGCAAGGUUGCGGUUUAAAUUCCUUGGAACAGGAUGUCAUAGAGGGUGAGAAUCCCGUCUUGAAUCGUAUACUGCGUCUAUGUGAAACUCCUUCGACGAGUCGAGUUGUUUGGGAAUGCAGCUCAAAAUGGGAGGUAAAUUUCUUCUAAAGCUAAAUAUUGGCCAGAGACCGAUAGCGCACAAGUA